GUGCUGCUGCUGCUGCUCCGUGCCCUCCGCCGGGGUCCAGGCCCGGGUCCUCGGCCGCUGUGGGGCCCAGGCCCGGCCUGGAGUCCAGGGUUCCCCGCCAGGCCCGGGAGGGGGCGGCCGUACAUGGCCAGCAGGCCUCCGGGGGACCUCGCCGAGGCUGGAGGCCGAGCUCUGCAGAGCUUACAAUUGAGACUGCUAACCCCUACCUUUGAAGGGAUCAACGGAUUGUUGUUGAAACAACAUUUAGUUCAGAAUCCAGUCAGACUCUGGCAACUUUUAGGUGGUACUUUCUAUUUUAACACCUCAAGGUUGAAGCAGAAGAAUAAGGAGAAGGAUAAGUCGAAGGGGAAGGCGCCUGAAGAGGACGAAGGUAUAUUCAUCUGAUGUUCUUCAGUCAGUAGCUGCCUCUGGAUGUCUUUACAUUUCUGUUUUCCUUUUAGCAAGGUGAAACCAGUCUGGAAAAUGGGGAGAUGGGCCGGGUGCAGUGGCUCACACUUGUAAUCGAAACGCUUUGGGAGGCCCAGGUGGAAGGAUCACUUGAGGCCUAUACCACAUAGCGAGACCCUGUCUCACUGCAAAUUAAAAGGCUGGGCGUGGUGGCUCACACCUGUAAUCCCAGCACUUUGGGAGGCUGAGGCAGGCGGAUCACCUGCACCCUGGCCAACAUGGUGAAACCCCGUCUUUACUAAAAAUAGAAAAUUAGCCGGGCGUGAUGGCACACGCCUGUAAUCCCAGCUACUCGGGAGGCUGAGGCAGGAGAAUUGCUUGAACCUGGGAGGUGGAGGUUGCUGUGAGUGGAGAUCAUGCCAUUGCACUCCAGCCUGAGCAACAAGAGCAAAACUCCAUCUC
rnacentral:lncRNA from 10 species